UGAAGAUAUCCGAUGGUCAAGGACGAGAGGCCAAAUUAAUAGUAUGGUCGCACCCUGGUAAUGAUGUCAGUGGUAUGGUUAGCAGGUCACAAAAAGUAGCAGGAACAUGUGAAAAGCUGAUGGGAGAAGAGGUAUAUCACUAUCAUGGUAAAUUAGUGAGCAAAGAGGCCAACACUGGUGGCUCAUUCUUAUGGCAUCAGGAUUACGGAUAUUGGUAUAAAAAUGGCUGCUUGCUACCUAAUAUGAUGACAGUCUUUAUUGCUCUUGAUAAAUGCACGAAAGAAAAUGGUUGCCUUCAGGUA